GUAUGCAGCCAUAACACCCUGCAAUUCACAACUGGCAACCCACUGAAGCUAAGCGGGCGUGAGCCUGGUCAGUACCUGGAUGGGAGACCUCCUGGGAAUAACUAAGGUUGCUGCUGGAA
rnacentral:rRNA from 1 species